GAUUCAGCGGCGGACGGGUGAGUAAUGCCUAGGAAUCUGCCUGGUAGUGGGGGAUAACGUCCGGAAACGGGCGCUAAUACCGCAUACGUCCUGAGGGAGAAAGUGGGGGAUCUUCGGACCUCACGCUAUCAGAUGAGCCUAGGUCGGAUUAGCUAGUUGGUGGGGUAAAGGCCUACCAAGGCGACGAUCCGUAACUGGUCUGAGAGGAUGAUCAGUCACACUGGAACUGAGACACGGUCCAGACUCCUACGGGAGGCAGCAGUGGGGAAUAUUGGACAAUGGGCGAAAGCCUGAUCCAGCCAUGCCGCGUGUGUGAAGAAGGUCUUCGGAUUGUAAAGCACUUUAAGUUGGGAGGAAGGGCAGUAAGUUAAUACCUUGCUGUUUUGACGUUACCAACAGAAUAAGCACCGGCUAACUUCGUGCCAGCAGCCGCGGUAAUACGAAGGGUGCAAGCGUUAAUCGGAAUUACUGGGCGUAAAGCGCGCGUAUGUGGUUCAGCAAGUUGGAUGUGAAAUCCCCGGGCUCAACCUGGGAACUGCAUCCAAAACUACUGAGCUAGAGUACGGUAGAGGGUGGUGGAAUUUCCUGUGUAGCGGUGAAAUGCGUAGAUAUAGGAAGGAACACCAGUGGCGAAGCGACCACCUGGACUGAUACUGACACUGAGGUGCGAAAGCGU
rnacentral:rRNA from 1 species